GACGAACGCUGGCGGCGUGCUUAACACAUGCAAGUCGAACGGAAAGGCCCCUUUGGGGGUACUCGAGUGGCGAACGGGUGAGUAACACGUGAGUAACCUGCCCUUGACUUCGGGAUAACUUCAGGAAACUGGGGCUAAUACCGGAUAGGAAUCCUUGCUGCAUGGUGGGGGUUGGAAAGCUUCGGCGGUUUUGGAUGGACUCGCGGCGUAUCAGCUUGUUGGUGGGGUAGUGGCUUACCAAGGCUUUGACGGGUAGCCGGCCUGCGAGGGCGACCGGCCACAUUGGGACUGAGAUACGGCCCAGACUCCUACGGGAGGCAGCAGUGGGGAAUAUUGCACAAUGGGCGGAAGCCUGAUGCAGCAACGCCGCGUGCGGGAUGACGGCCUUCGGGUUGUAAACCGCUUUCAGCAGGGGCGAAGCUUGUGGUGACGGUACCUGCAGAAGAAGCACCGGCUAACUACGUG
rnacentral:rRNA from 1 species